rnacentral:rRNA from 1 species
GACGAACGCUGGCGGCGUGCCUAAUACAUGCAAGUCGAGCGAAGUUUUUCUGGUGCUUGCACUAGAAAAACUUAGCGGCGAACGGGUGAGUAACACGUAAAGAACCUGCCUCAUAGACUGGGACAACUAUUGGAAACGAUAGCUAAUACCGGAUAACAGUAUUUCUCGCAUGAGAGAUAUUUAAAAGUUGGUUAUGCUAACACUAUGAGAUGGCUUUGCGGUGCAUUAGCUAGUUGGUGGGGUAAAGGCCUACCAAGGCGACGAUGCAUAGCCGACCUGAGAGGGUGAUCGGCCACACUGGGACUGAGACACGGCCCAGACUCCUACGGGAGGCAGCAGUAGGGAAUCUUCCGCAAUGGGCGAAAGCCUGACGGAGCAACGCCGCGUGAGUGAAGAAGGAUUUCGGUUCGUAAAGCUCUGUUGUUAGGGAAGAAUGGAUAUGUAGUAACUAUACAUAUAAGAGACG